rnacentral:lncRNA from 1 species
CAUGUGCUUUAACCUAAUUCAGCAAGGUACUUAUUCAAGURUUUCUGCUAUUCUUCCUUUCGUGAAAUGCACCAGGUGUAGUUACACUGAAGUAUUACGUGUGAAAUCCUGUCUCCAUAGGUCUGGAGAAAAAACUCGUUGACUUCAGUGAGCCCAGGAGUUCAGCCAUACCUUAUAAAUGCUCUCCAGCCUGCUCCCCGCUGCCGGACUGUGCAGCUCCUUCGACUUCAAGCAGGCUCAGAGGCAUGAGCACCAACUUCCAGUAAUUCUGUCACCUCGAACAAGUUCACCUCUGGAAAUAGCAGCUUUUCCAUUCCGGUUGGAGUGACAGAUGCUCAGAAACUCUGAAAGCUGUGUAUGUUGGUGUGCCACACCCACUCUUAGGACACCCUUCUGGUGGUGGGACCAUCCACAGCCUGAGUCAACUACAGUUGUAGAGGUUGCUGCUUUAAGGCUUUAAUUGCAGUUGCCAUUGCUGACAAACCACGUCCGUCUGCGCCAGUCUUUGAAGUAAACCUGAGCGUGCAUAACCACUUUCCAAGGGUGAAACAAGAUGUACACCAGGAGUGCAGGUAAACUG